rnacentral:rRNA from 1 species
CUACGGGGUGCAGCAGUGGGGAAUUUUGCGCAAUGGGGGAAACCCUGACGCAGCGAUACCGCGUGAGUGAAGAAGGCCUUUGGGUCGUAAAGCUCUUUUCUAAGGGAAGAUAGUGACGGUACCUUAGGAAUAAGCGCCGGCUAACUCCGUGCCAGCAGCCGCGGUAAUACGGAGGGCGCGAGCGUUGUUCGGAUUUACUGGGCGUAAAGGGCGCGUAGGCGGCCUGACAAGUUAAGGGUGAAAUCCCGGGGCUUAACCCCGGAACUGCUCUUAAAACUGCCAAGCUAGAGAUGGUCAGAGGCGGGUGGAAUUCCAGGUGUAGAGGUGAAAUUCGUAGAUAUCUGGAGGAACACCGGUGGCGAAGGCGGCCCGCUGGGGCCAUUCUGACGCUGAGGCGCGAAAGCGUGGGGAGCGAACGGGAUUAGAUACCCGUGUAGUC